rnacentral:lncRNA from 1 species
GUUCGGUACACUUAAGAUGUUGUUAUGAUAUGUUUACUUACUGUUCAAAUACAAAUAUUAAAGAAUAUAUAGUAUAUAGUAUUCCAUGAUAAGUAGAUAGAGAAUUGAUAGUAAUAUAUGGAUACUGUGUAUAUAAAAAAUUUGGCUGUGAUGGUUUGCUAUAUGAUAUCAAAUAAAAAAUAAGUUUGAAAAAGAGAAGGAAGGUACCAAUGGAAGAAUAAAAUCUGAUUUGUCAAUCGUAGUCAGAAGAAAUACGAGUGCUAUGAUAUUUUCCGGACAAUAUGAGUAUUUAAGUCAUAGCUUUUGGUCAUGACCAUAUGUGUAUAUUCAAAUGGUCCAAACAUACGCGUUUGGUCAGACCACAUGAGUAUAUUAUACUUGUGGGGUAUAAACAAUCAAGACAUCUUGAAAAAAGAAAAAUAACAAAAAUACCGAAUUCAAAGGAAAAUCUCAAUGGAAAGUCCCAGAUCAAAUGCAAAAUCAAAAGCUCA